CUUUUCCUCCGCACAGUUUUUGAUCAAUCUCCCCCUCAGUGUUUACAAGCAGACUUGUCCUUGGUUAUUGGGAGUGGUGCUCCUCCAUUCGAUAUGUAAAGGAAACCGUGCCACUAUCAUAACAAAUAUUUCGCUUUUAAUGCUGAGGAUAUCUUAUACCAAUCAUUAGAUAGAAAGGAUUAGAGGUGGAAAAGUCAAGCAUUACGUGCCGUCAUGUUCUAGAGAAGAGACCAGUUAUUCUCUUUCGAUCAGAGUUCAUGCAUCAAAGAAUGCAUUUUAAUCUUAGAGCAGAGCCAAGACUUAUGUGUACUGUAUUUAAAUAUACCCUCUCAAAGACUUUAAGACAGUAGAAUUACUUUAGAACUGUACAAGACGAACAGGCCUAUCAAUGAAAGAUGACGAAUAAUAAGAGAUUAUGUCCCCCUAUACAAGGCACAGUGGAAAGUUCAAAGUCCAGGCCACAGAUCUCCAAAUCACAGAUCUCCAAAAUACAACAAUACUAAACCUACAGAGCAGAAAUAGACCAAUAAAACAGCUUGAAGCUGACAAUGAAGCUGGAAAAAAUUU